rnacentral:sRNA from 1 species
UACUUUAAAUAAAUAAGGAGCUAUACUCGAACAUAGCUCCCUAAAGCGUAGCCGUUUAAGACGGUAGCAGAUUUUAAUAGGUAAAAUA